AUUCACGGUGCUACCGUCCACCACAACAUUCGCACUGAAAUUAUCAAAUACUGUCGGCACAUAAUCCGUGGGAAACGUGUUGCUGGUGUAUGAAAUGAGCAUGCAGGUCUUCCCCACCGCGCCGUCUCCCACCGUGACGCACUUGAUGAACCUCGACGCGCUCAUCUCCUCCUCCCCAGAUCUCCACCCCCAAAAGAUCCCGCGUUUCCCGCCUUCCCCACCGUCCUCAGCACUGCGGCUGCGUGCCCCCGGCUAGAACCCGUCGAAACUCGAAAAACAUUGAGCCUG
rnacentral:misc_RNA from 1 species